GCAUGUCAAUCCAAAGAAGCAAACAAUAGGUAAUUCUUGUAAAGCCUGUGGGUACCGAGGCAUGCUUGACACACAUCAUAAACUCUGUACAUUCAUUCUCAAAAACCCACCUGAGAAUAGUGACAUUGGUACAGGAAAGAAAGAGAAAGAAAAGAAAAAUAGAAAGGGCAAGGACAAGGAAAAUGGCUCUGUAUCCACCAGUGAGACACCACCACCUCCACCACCAAAUGAAAUUAGUCCUCCACAUGCUGUGGAAGAAGAGGAAGAUGAUGAUUGGGGGGAGGAUACAACUGAGGAAGCUCAAAGGCGCAGAAUGGAUGAAAUCAGUGACCAUGCAAAAGGUCUGACACUUAGCGAUGAUUUGGAAAGAACUGUAGAAGAGCGUGUUAACAUCCUGUUUGAUUUUGUUAAGAAAAAGAAAGAA
rnacentral:lncRNA from 1 species